rnacentral:rRNA from 1 species
GUCGUAACAAGGUCUCCGUAGGUGAACCUGCGGAGGGAUCAUUACACAAAUAUGAAGGCGGGCUGGAACCUCUCGGGGUUACAGCCUUGCUGAAUUAUUCACCCUUGUCUUUUGCGUACUUCUUGUUUCCUUGGUGGGUUCGCCCACCACUAGGACAAACAUAAACCUUUUGUAAUUGCAAUCAGCGUCAGUAACAAAUUAAUAAUUACAACUUUCAACAACGGAUCUCUUGAUUCUGGCAUCGAUGAAGAACGCAGCGAAAUGCGAUAAGUAGUGUGAAUUGCANAAUUCAGUGAAUCAUCGAAUCUUUGAACGCACAUUGCGCCCUUUGGUAUUCCAAAGGGCAUGCCUGUUCGAGCGUCAUUUGUACCCUCAAGCUUUGCUUGGUGUUGGGCGUCUUGUCUCUAGCUUUGCUGGAGACUCGCCUUAAAGUAAUUGGCAGCCGGCCUACUGGUUUCGGAGCGCAGCACAAGUCGCACUCUCUAUCAGCAAAGGUCUAGCAUCCAUUAAGCCUUUUUUUCAACUUUUGACCUCGGAUCAGGUAGGGAUACCCGCUGAACUUAAGCAUAUCA